rnacentral:rRNA from 1 species
GAGCUUGCUCUCUGGGUGGCGAGUGGCGGACGGGUGAGGAAUACAUCGGAAUCUACUCUGUCGUGGGGGAUAACGUAGGGAAACUUACGCUAAUACCGCAUACGACCUACGGGUGAAAGCAGGGGAUCUUCGGACCUUGCGCGAUUGAAUGAGCCGAUGUCGGAUUAGCUAGUUGGCGGGGUAAAGGCCCACCAAGGCGACGAUCCGUAGCUGGUCUGAGAGGAUGAUCAGCCACACUGGAACUGAGACACGGUCCAGACUCCUACGGGAGGCAGCAGUGGGGAAUAUUGGACAAUGGGCGCAAGCCUGAUCCAGCCAUACCGCGUGGGUGAAGAAGGCCUUCGGGUUGUAAAGCCCUUUUGUUGGGAAAGAAAUCCAGCCGGCUAAUACCUGGUUGGGAUGACGGUACCCAAAGAAUAAGCACCGGCUAACUUCGUGCCAGCAGCCGCGGUAAUACGAAGGGUGCAAGCGUUACUCGGAAUUACUGGGCGUAAAGCGUGCGUAGGUGGUCGUUUAAGUCCGUUGUGAAAGCCCUGGGCUCAACCUGGGAACUGCAGUGGAUACUGGGCGACUAGAGUGUGGUAGAGGGUAGCGGAAUUCCUGGUGUAGCAGUGAAAUGCGUAGAGAUCAGGAGGAACAUCCAUGGCGAAGGCAGCUACCUGGACCAACACUGACACUGAGGCACGAAAGCGUGGGGAGCAAACAGG